GACGAACGCUAGCGGCAGGCUUAACACAUGCAAGUCGAGGGGCAGCAGGGGUAGCAAUACUCGCUGGCGACCGGCAAACGGGUGCGGAACACGUACGCAACAUACCUUUUACUGGGGCAUAGCCUUCUGAAAAGAAGAUUAACACCCCAUAAUAUCAAUGACUGGCAUCAGUCGAUGAUUAAAAUUUAUUGGUAAGAGAUUGGCGUGCGUCCUAUUAGCUAGUUGGACGGGUAAUGGCCUACCAAGGUGACGAUAGGUAGCUGGUGUGAGAGCACGACCAGCCACACGGGCACUGAGACACGGGCCCGACUCCUACGGGAGGCAGCAGU
rnacentral:rRNA from 1 species